GGUCGAAUGGUGUAGUGGUUUAUCACGCUCGCCUCACACGCGAGAGGUCCGGGGUUCAAUCCCCCGUUCGACCU